UCAGUCAAUUUAGCAGUUCACAUAGUUUAUUCAGCAAUAUAACAGGAGAGAACCUCCAUUGUAAGAGACAUAAGGCAGAUACAGGGUGCAUCUCUGGGGUACAUUCUUCAUACAGACUAACAAAUAACUUCAGGUUUCACAACAUGUAGCAAGUAUGAUUUGUUGCACACCAACAGCCAUUCAUUCCUCACGUUUUCCUUGCUAAAAGAGCCCUGGUCAGGCACGGUGGCUAUGCCUGUAAUCCCAGCACUGUCGGAGGUCAGGGCAGGUGGAUCAUCUGAGGUCAGGAGUUCAAGACCAGCCUGGCCAACAUGGUGAAACCCCGUCUCUACUAAAAACACAAAAAUUAGCCAGACAUGGUGGCGGGCACCUGUAAUCCCCACUACUCAGGAGGCUGAGGCAGGAGAAUUGCUUGAACCUAGGAGGUGGAGGUUACAGUAAGCCGAGAUCGUGCCACUACACUCCAUCCUGGGCAAGAGAGCGAGACUCCGUCAAAAAAAAAAAAAAAAAAGGGCUGGGCACAGUGGCUCAUGCCUGUAAUCCCAGCACUUUGGGAGGCCAAGGCGGGUGGAUCAUGAGAUCAAGAGAUCAAGACCAUCCUGGCCAACAAUGGUGAAACCCCAUCUCUACUAAAAAUACAAAAAUUAGCCAAGUGUGGUGGCGCACACCUGUAGUCCCAGCUACUCGGGAGGCUGAGGCAGGAGAAUUGCUUGAACCCGGAAGGCAGAGGUUGCAGUGAACCAAGACUGCCACUGCACUCCAGCCUGGGCGACAGAGUGAGACUCUGUCUCAAAAAAAAAAAAAAAAAAAAAAAAGCCCUGAUUUCUUCAAUGGAGGCAAUGUGGCCUACCCAGGCAAUGCUAACCCUAUUCCCCUUUGCCAAGGUUUCCCAGGCUCCCUUGUAAACUGGUACUUUCUAAUGAGAUGUAAGAAGAAAUUUGCUAGGGAUUUUUGGGAAAGACUUGAUUCCCAAAUAAAACACUGACUUGAAAGAAAGCCUUUUGCUCUCUACUUCCAGCCUUUCCUAGGGAUUAAAAUGUCUGUUACAACAAGAAGUCAUAUUGUACUCAUUGAGAAAAAAAAACCUAACGAUAAAAAGCAAACAUGGAUCCUAGGCCGGGUAGGGUGGCUCACGCCUGUAAUCCCAGCACCUUGGGAGACCGAGGUGGGAGGAUGGCUUGAGCCUAGGAGUUGGAGACCAGCCUGGGUCAUACAGCAAGACUCUGUCACUAUUUUUUAAAAAGCAAAAAAAAAAAAAAAAAAAAAGAGGAUCGCAAGGGGGAAGGACACAAAGAAGCUGGGACCUUGAUAAUAUUGAUAAUAUUGCUAAAAGCACUAGAUACCUAGAUACCUGGCAUGUUAAGUGUAAUUUAAAAAUUGUUCAGUGGCCUUUGAGAUGUUUUCAACAGCUUUUUCUAAGUGGCUUAACCCCAACUCUGGGUCCAUGAUUUUCAUGAAAGUCCAGAAUGUGGCCAAUGUUCAGCAGACCUCCUUAGUUCUAAGAAAGAUGCUUCCUCUAGACUGUUCAUAAUAUAUAUGAAGUCAGGCUUGAUAAUUUCUUUUGUCAUACAUCUCCUGAUAGGUACUUUUCCAUUUCCAGGGGAGGACGUUGUAAAUUCAGUCACCACAAAGACAAGACAGUCUUUUGUUUAUGUAAAGCCACGUAAGUAUGGACAGGUGGCAUUUCUGCAUGUUUCUGCAUAACCUAUAUAGGUGUUUCCUAAUAGAAUGUGAUUUAUCUGACAGUGACCAGUUAUCAAUAAUCUCACAGCCACACUGAGGAUGGGCCAAACAGGGCCAAUGAUGAAUAAAUGGCUAUAUAAGAGCAAAUUUUAUCUAUCUAUCUAUUUAUAUAUAUAUCUCAUCACUGACCAAUGCAUAAGAGGUGAGUUUACAACAGUGUAAUUUCUUAUUAAAAUUCACUGGACUAAUCUAGGAUCCAGCUAUAACGAGGCUGCUUUCCCACAAAAGUUAUCAUUAGAAAUACCACUAUGAAGCACACAGUAUAGGACUUCCCCUCUAGGACUACUUUGUCAUAUGACACUCAUUAGGUUGCAGAAAUUUUUUUAGGAGUGGUAAGUUAGUUCCAAAACAGUUUAUAGGAAAUACGGAUUAGCCUCAGUCUAGAUGAACAGAUUAGCCUCAGUCUAGAUGAACAGGCUGGCUGGAAUACUAACUAAAUUCAUGUGAAUAAAAUAUGUAUAGGCCACGGAAGCAGAUCCAACAAUUUAAGCAGUUCCCAAAGUAGUGACAAUCUGGGUCAGACUUAGAAAUGAAUUAUUUUUCCAUCUUCCUUGGGCUACCUACACAAAAGCCUCUAGACUUGACAAUUUUGACUAUUAUAGAAGCUAUUUGUUUUGGCCCAGUUUUUUGUUUAAGGUUUUAUCUGUUCUGGUCAAGAUUAACUGUAAUGCAGGGUUAAAACCAGCUACUCGAGAGUCAUGUAUUCUUUUUCUAACCAGUGGAGGACCCAGAAGAAAUGGAUGGCAAGCUUUCUCAAAGGUCCAUCUGGUGAGAUUCUGGGGAGCCCACUCAAGUGGGAAAGACCAAGGAAGAACAAGGCUUCUAUUAGCAGGAUUAUCAGGAUAACACUCAGGACAAUAAUCAGCUCUGUUAAUACGGUCUAAGAAUACCUGGUAACAUUCAUUUUCAACAAGUUCAGUUUGGUACAACCAGUGGCCUAGUUCUAAACUAGGGAACCACUGUUGUCCACAAUCAGGGCAAUGUGAAUUAUCUGAAAACAUCUGGACCUAGAAAGACAACACAGACAGCAAUGUGACAGCAAGAGACAACAGUGACAGAGAGAGACGCCCAAACACCAGUCCUAUUACAGGUUUCGUUUACCAAUUUCUUAGUUCAACCAAUAUUAUUUGGAGAGCCAAAUAAACUUGGCUUGCACCUCCGUGCAAUUCUUCAAGAUUUCGUUGUCUAUUUUUCACUCAAUUGCAACUCAGUCUCUGAACUCAGGGACCGAUCCAGUUUAUAAUGUUAUCAGUCACUUACUAGCAGUACAGAUCUCAGGAUAGCUCCUUCAAAUCCCAGCUUCUCAAGAAGAGAUAGGGCUCUAGUCUAAAUUAGUUAUAUUUUUCUUAUGCGUCAUCAGCUGCUGGUGGUGUCACACAGAGGCACUUGGCUUACUCUGCUUUGUUGGUAAGGUUAUUGUGUCUGCUUGGUGAAACAGAGGAGCUGACAGGUCCAAUGGGUCUUUUGUUGGCGCUGGCACUCUUGCCGUUGUAACACACGUACCCAAGUCUUAAGGCCUUGGCACUUUAUAGCAAUGUAGAGGGGUCAGAAAAACCUGGCAGAGUCCUCUUGAUCGUGGAUCCAAUGAAGUCUGUCUUGGGAGGACAUUAAUCAGGACCCAAUUGCUGUGAAGAAGCUGAUGCUCAGUUGGCUGAAGAGUCUGGGAAUGCGUCACUUACAUAAAGUUUCAAAAGGAUAUAAAAUUAAUGUGUUGUUUAGGGAUAUUUUUUUGAGACGGAGUUUCACUCUUGUUGCUCAGGCUGGAGGGCAAUGGUGCAAUCUUGGCUCACUGCAACCUCCGCCUCCUGAGUUCAAGUGAUUCUCUUGCUUCAACCUCCCGAGUAGCUGGGAUUACAGGUAUGCACC
rnacentral:lncRNA from 1 species